CUGUAGAUCCCCAGAGAUCCCUGUAGAUCCCUGUGGAUCUAGUCUGAGGCCUAGAGAUCCUGCACUGAUGCCUGUUGAUCCCUUUAGAUCCCCAUGGGCUCAGUCUGGGGCCUUUAGAUGCCUGUGGAUCCCCAUAGAUCCCUGUAGAUCCCCCUGGAUCAUGUCUGAGGCCUAAGGAUCCUUCACUGAUCCCCACUGAUCCCUUUAGAUCCCCCUGGACCCAGCUUGGGGCCCCAUAGAUCCCUACAGAUCUCUACAGAUAGAUCCUGGUAGGUCCAGUCUGGGCUCUAGAGAUCCCCACAGGUCCCCCUAGAUCCCUGUGCCACCAACCUGGGGGCCAGUAGAUCCCCCACAGAUCCACUCUCGACCCCUGGAGGUCCCCAGAGAUCUCCAUUGGUGCCUGGAAAUGCCUGCAGAUCCCCAGGGAUCCACUCUGGGGGCCUCUAGAUCCCUUUUUGUCCCUAUAGGUACCCAGGGAUCCAGUCUGGCUCCUCUAGCUCCUUACUGGUCCCUCUAGAUCACCUCAGGGAUCCACUCUGGGGCUCUGUAGCUCUCCACUGCUCCCUAUUGGUCCUUAUAGAUCCCUUCAGGGAUCCACUCUGGGGCUCUGUAGCUCUCCACUGCUCCCUAUUGGUCCUUAUAGAUCCCUUCAGGGAUCCACUCUGGGGCUCUGUAGCUCUCCACUGCUCCCUAUUGGUCCUUAUAGAUCCCUUCAGGGAUCCACUCUGGGGCCCUGUAGCUCUCCACUGCUCCCUAUUGGUCCUUAGAGAUCCCUUCAGGGAUCCACUCUGGGGUCCUGUAGCUCUCCACUGCUCCCUAUUGGUCCUUAUAGAUCCCUUCAGGGAUCCACUCUGGGGCCCUGUAGCUCUCCACUGCUCCCUAUUGGUCCUUAUAGAUCCCUUCAGGGAUCCACUCUGGGGCUCUGUAGCUCUCCACUGCUCUUUAUUGGUCCCAGUAGAUCCCCUCAGGGGUGCAGUCUAGGGGCCUGUAGAUCCCCCCUCAGGGAUCCACUCUGGGGCUCUGUAGCUCUCCACUGCUCCCUAUUGGGCCCUGUAGAUCCCCCCCAAGGGAUCCACUGCAGGCCCUAAGGGAUCCACUCUGGGGCCCUGCAGCUCUCCCCUGCUCCCUACUGGUCCCUGUAGAUCCCCCCACAAGGGAUCCACUGCAGGCCCUAAGGGAUCCACUCUGGGGCCCUGCAGCUCUCCCCUGCCCCCUAUUGGUCCCUGUAGGUCCCUCCCAGGCCCCUCCCCUUCCCCUCCUCUCCAGCCAAUAAAAUCUCUUGGUUAGA